ACCGAUGAAGAGCCUUUUGGGCCCUGAGAGAUGAUGAAAGCCCCCCUAUCUGAGG
rnacentral:ncRNA from 14 species